rnacentral:rRNA from 1 species
AUUGAACGCUGGCGGCAGGCCUAACACAUGCAAGUCGAGCGAGCGGCGGACGGGUGAGUAAUGUCUGGGAAACUGCCUGAUGGAGGGGGAUAACUACUGGAAACGGUAGCUAAUACCGCAUACCAUCAGAUGUGCCCAGAUGGGAUUAGCUAGUAGGUGGGGUAACGGCUCACCUAGGCGACGAUCCCUACCUGGUCUGAGAGGAUGACCAGCCAAACUGGAACUGAGACACGGUCCGGACGCCUACGGGAGGCAGAAGUGGGGAAUAUUGCACAAGGGGGGCAAGCCUGAUGCAGCCAUGCCGCGUGUGUGAAGAAGGCCUUCGGGUUGUAAAGCACUUUCAGCGGGGAGGAGGGAAGCGGAGAAGAAGCACCGGCUAACUCCGUGCCAGCAGCCGCGGUAAUAG